UGGGGAAUAUUGCACAAUGGGCGCAAGCCUGAUGCAGCGACGCCGCGUGCGGGAUGGAGGCCUUCGGGUUGUAAACCGCUUUUGUUCAAGGGCAAGGCACGGCUUCGGGCCGUCGUUGAGUGGAUUGUUCGAAUAAGCACCGGCUAACUACGUGCC
rnacentral:rRNA from 1 species